rnacentral:misc_RNA from 1 species
UCACCCCUCAAGCCUCCGGGCUUGGUGUUGGACGGUUUGGUCUCGGGUGACGAGACCCCUCCUAAAAUCAACGACGGCGGCCUGUUCGACCCCCCGGUACACGGAGCUUCUUAACUGAGCACGUAUCGGCCUAGGCAGGACCCGGUCAUCUUCCUUAACCGGAAAACCUCUCAA